UACGUAGGUGGCAAGCGUUUGUCCGGAUUUACUGGGCGUAAAGAGCGCGCAGGCGGUCGUUCAAGUCGCGUGUGAAAGCCCCCGGCUCAACUGGGGAGGGUCACGCGAUACUGAUCGACUCGAAGGCAGGAGAGGGAAGUGGAAUUCCCGGUGUAGUGGUGAAAUGCGUAGAUAUCGGGAGGAACACCAAUGGCGAAGGCAGCUCGCUGGGACGGUACUGACGCUGAGACGCGAAAGCGUGGGGAGCAAACAGG
rnacentral:rRNA from 1 species